UGGGGAAUUUUCCGCAAUGGGCGAAAGCCUGACGGAGCAAUGCCGCGUGGAGGCGGAAGGCCUACGGGUCGUCAACUUCUUUUCUCGGAGAAGAAACAAUGACGGUAUCUGAGGAAUAAGCAUCGGCUAACUCUGNGCCAG
rnacentral:rRNA from 1 species